rnacentral:rRNA from 1 species
AACGAACGCUGGCGGCAGGCCUAACACAUGCAAGUCGAGCGAGGACUUCGGUUCUAGCGGCGGACGGGUGAGUAACGCGUGGGAAUGUGCCCUUCUCUACGGAAUAGCCCUGGGAAACUGGGAGUAAUACCGUAUACGCCCUAUUGGGGAAAGAUUUAUCGGAGAAGGAUCAGCCCGCGUUGGAUUAGGUAGUUGGUGGGGUAAUGGCCUACCAAGCCGACGUUCCAUAGCUGGUUUGAGAGGAUGAUCAGCCACACUGGGACUGAGACACGGCCCAGACUCCUACGGGAGGCAGCAGUGGGGAAUCUUAGACAAUGGGGGCAACCCUGAUCUAGCCAUGCCGCGUGAGUGAUGAAGGCCUUAGGGUUGUAAAGCUCUUUCAGCUGGGAAGAUAAUGACGGUACCAGCAGAAGAAGCCCCGGCUAACUCCGUG